rnacentral:lncRNA from 1 species
GUGUUCUCGCCUGCAGAGGUGAGUUCUCAGAUGCCCCGGAACACCCUUGGCAAAGGCACCAGAGCUCUCUGAUUGCAGCUGAUUCUCGGGGGGCACUGAAGCCAGUCUGAGCCAGUCACAGGAGGGCCUUGAGGAGAUGCUGAGUAUGGCCUGGGGGUGUGGGAGAGGAAGGGGCUCAGGAAAACUUCUGUAAGGAGCCAGAUAAAAGUUUUUAAAAUAAUGUUUUAAAUGUUUGUCAAAGAAAGCAAUAGAUUUGUAAAGAAAUUAGUAGGUAAGUAGUGAAAAUUGAUUCUCCUUCCCAUUCCCAAUCCUGUGGCAACUCUUGUUACAGAUUUUAUUUAUCCUCCACAGAUACAUCAUGCGUUCACAAUGAACAUAGAAUUUACUGGGUUUUAGACUGAGCCAUCCUUAACUUGUCAACAGUUACUUUGAAAACAAACCAGCUCUCCCAAAUUGGGGUUUUGCGGGGUUAUGAGAUGUGUUUCAAAAGAAUGUUUCGUACUUUAAACAUCUUGGAAAACUUGAAUUAAAACAGAGCUAAUGGAUUUCUUCUUUCCAGACCUUCUCAGAGCUUUUAGUAUGCUAGUGUGCACGUGGCUUGCCUACAAAAGGGUGUUGACUGAACUAUUUGCCCAAAUUAUAAUCAUUUGAGUAUACAGCUUUUUGUGGGGGCAGGCAGAACUGAGACAUACCAAAAUCAGUUUGGGAAAUGCUGUAUUUGAAAAUGCUUUCUAUUUAAAUAUUCUCUUUGCAAUCAUUUUUGCUCUGUUGAUUUGCUUAGCAAAGUCUUCAUGUCUGGGACAAUAUCCAUUUCUUACUGACUCAUCAAAAACCCCCACUCGACACGUCGAUGAGAGAGGUUUUGUUUGCUGUGUGGCAUGUUCAGUGAAAGCGUGGUUUCCAGUUUCUUCACAUCCUUAUAAUUUUCUAGACUUCAGAUGGAGGGAACAAUCAGAGGAGGCUGGAAUCCUGCCUCUGACCAAGGAAAAGACCAGAGGCUGAGCCAGGUGGGGUCUCUUGUCCAGCCCUCUGCUUGCCUCGCUUUACCUGGGUGUGGGCUGAGUAAUUCCAGACAAGCGUGGAAUUAAUCUGGCUGUUUGUGCUGUUCAGUGGCACGCUGGUUACACCUCCUUCUGGAAACAACUCUGCGUGUGCUGUUUGGGUGGUAGGAUUCCGGGUCUCCUUCUCCGUCUUUUUAUAACAUCAAGUUGCUGCCCAGCUCAGGCUCCUUUACGGCCAGUCUUCAGAAAACCACCAGCUAACACAUUUACUACCCUCCUUCCCCGAUGUUCCUGUAGCUUCUCUAUGGCUGGGUGGCCAGGCAUGGCCGAAGAGGCUCUGGGUAGAUAUAGGCUCUGUGCCCGGUGUGUGUAACUGGCCUUGAGUGAGGCUGCAGUUGUGUGUUAUUUCUAUUAGGUCACUGUGGAAUUUCUAGCGACAACUAAUCUUUCAAAGUGUGUUUAUUGGUCACAGGAUUAUUGGGCCAGCCUCUGCCUUCAUUCUUUUUCACCUAAUCUGCAUAAUAGCUGUGUUAUCCCCAUUUUAGAGAAGAAGAAACAGGGGCUCAGAGAAGUCUAGUAACCUGUGUGAGGCCACACAGCAAACACCUCAUGACCCUGCCCUCCUAAGGCAGCCCAUGGCUACUGCUGGAGGGAUAGAGGCCGGCCCCGUGGUUUGAUGGGACAGCUUGACCUUAAACAGCCCAUGGGAAGGCGGGUGCAUCUGGUUUAGGAACAGGCUGCUAGAAAGGUAUCCAGGAUGUGGUAGUCUCACCGGAAGGAGCCAGUCAGAAUAGCACAGCCUGUGGCCACGCGUGGGACCUGUUCAGCCUCAUGGAGCUUUGGGAGGCAGCCAGCAGCAGGGCAUGGGCUGUGUGCAGGCGAGGCGCUGGCCUGGACGCCGCCCCCACUGCGUAACUUCGUGUUUGGAAUGCGUGGGCACAUACCGUGCGGCUGCUUCUGGCCGGGGGAUAUUCUUUUCCAAUUUUGAGCCAAGGUGGAGACUGUCUCCUCGUGCCAUCCCUGGCAUGUCCUGGCAAGACGUGAACGAUCUCAAUAGACGAGCUUUGCAGAGUGUGUCUGACCUGACUCCUGCUGUCUUGGGAGUUUAGCUCUUCAGCCAGCAGCAUGCUGUUUGACAUGUGUUUCAAGCCCCCCAAGAAAGGGUGCUUGAAAUUUAAAAUUGAACUGAUGUGGCUUUUCAAAAUGGAAUUGGAAAUGAAAGGAUAUUAAAUUGCAGACACCCACACAAAAGACUGGUUUCCACUGACUAAACUGCUUUUUUUUGCUGAUAGUAGUUGAAAGUAGGGAGAGUAACAGCAUCUCUUCCAGCUUUUUCUCUUUUGUUCCCUUGUUUUGAUGAUGGGUUAUUUCGGGGGAAGCUCUGGCUGGCCUUGCUUUGUGUCAUCUUAGGGAUAACAAAGAGGAUGAAAGAGAUCAGGAAAACCGAGAAGGCAGAACAGAACCAGCAGAAACUGUGCUUGAGGAAUGAAAAUCACCUACACGGCUCCUUGUCAUAUGAGACUGUGGCCCAGCCUCCUGCAAAGCCAUUUAAGAGUAACCCAGUGAAGCUGCAACAGCCGGCAUUUCACAUGUCCAUCAUCGGACAGCGUAGGUGGGACCAUCAGUCAUGGUGUCCUACCCUCUGUGGCCAAGGAGUGGACACAGGACCCAGUUAGGGCAAGCAGAGGCUCCCCUUGGAAUCGCAAAGUGAAGCUGGAUGCCACCCACAGAGACUAACAUGGUGAAGCUGCUGUAGCCCCUGCUGUUGAGCCCCCAGCACUGCCUGAGUUCUUGCACUUUACACAUGUGCGCUCACUUUGCCUGCUGAGUCUUGGGACCCGGAAGAGCUUUUGGGAGACAAUCACGGACCAGCCCCCUCUUGCCUGCCCUGCUGUCUCCCUCCAAGCAGGAGGUGAGAAGGUGUCCACCUGCAGCCCCGGCCAGGCAUCCCUUUCUGUGCUUCUGCCCAAAUCUGAAAUUCCCCUCUCCUUGGGACCCACGACUGGGGCCAGCCUGCCUGGGGAGGGAAUCCCAGCUGCAGAAAGUCGGGACAGUGUGCGUGUAAACAUGUUAAUAGAAAGCAGCUUUGAGGGCAGACUAGUUCAGCUUCAGUUACAAACUCUUUCCAAAUGCGUUUAACAUGAGCCACUGGCUGUGCGCAGCAUAUGUCAAGCUUUCAUCCAAUGGUGGCAUUUUGUCCCUGCGGGGUUUUUUUUUCCUGAGCAGUUUGGGGCAGGGGUGGGGACAGGGAGAGAGAAAAGUAAAAAGAGAGCAGUUUGGUUUCUUCAGGCUGGAGUACAAGGCAGAGGUAAUGGGAUGUAUUGAAGAAGGUAGGAGGGAAAGUUACUUUAGCUACAGCUAUUUGUCCAGCUGUGCUGAUUAAGAAACUUGGAGAAAAGCAUCUUUGGAAUCAUGUCCUUCCCAUCUUAUAUACAGCCUUUGCAGAUUUCCUGCUGUUCUGAGAGAGAUCUGAACUCCUUACCAGGACCUUGAGGGCCCCACCUGAUUGGGCACCCCUCACUCUCUCUGCCCCUCCUCCCCUUCCCCUCCUCCCCUCCUUUCUCCACCCCCACCUGCUCUGCUCAGACACCCCUUCCUUGGUUGCUUCCCACAGGCCAGGGCUGUCCCCUGGGGCCUUGGCUGUUCCCCUCCCAGGAGCGCCCCUCUCCAGCUCCUCAUGCAGCCAACCUUCCUGUCCUUCAGGCCUCUGAUUAAAUUCUGCCUUAGACAUCUCUCCCCACCCCGCUGUGUGAGGUAGCGCCCCAUGCCCCAGUCCCCUCAACUCCACUGCCUCACUUUGGGGACACAUCACCCCAGGGACAACUGCAUUCCACUCUUGGUUUUUCCCUCCUCGUCUAUUUAUCACAAUUUAGAGUCGCCUCACUCAUUUGUCAAAUGAAGUUCAUCUCUGCAGCUGGACUGCGGGGUUGGGGGCACAUCCGGCUGUCGGUCCUCAGGUAGGAGGUGCUUGGCAACCUUGUUCAGAGUAGGACGUUCACAGCUGUCUGCCCCGGAGGAAGCAAGGGCACCCGCCACAUGGAUGGAAUUGAGGGGAAGGCACCCGGGGCUCCUGCAUCGAGCUUCCCUCCUAUAUUCAAUGAGGAAAUGACCCUGCAGAAGGCUGGCUGCAGAUGCCCCUGCCUCCCGGCUUUGCCUGCUUGGAGUUUGAUGGACACGUGGUCCUGUCAGGGCUACAGCAGGUCUAUGGUCUUUGGUAACGGAAAGCGCUGGUGAAACAGUGAGCUUUCCCGUGGGUGCUUUUCCCUGACGCCAACAACCAGGUAAAUAUUUGGAAACGGCCUUGUUGAGGCUUGUGAGGUGGUUUUCCUCCCUCCCCUGUAGGCCUGCGCCACCCCCCCAACCCCACGGCCACCUUUGGGCCAGAUGGCACCCACAGACCUGUUUGAAGUGGCCACAGAGGGAGCCCUCUGGGCGCUGGGGCCGCUGUGUUUGCAGAGGGUCCUCUUACUGCUGAGCUGGCUGGUGCAGUGAGAAGGAAGGCCGACACCCCUGAUCCUCAUCAAGUUCAGACGGGGGUCACUGCGGGUGAGGGGCCUGGGGCCUUUUACAUGUCCCGGGAGCUGCUGAGCAGGCCACUCUUCUCCAGGCCACCAGAACUUGGCCCUGCGCAUGGUGAAUCUUCCCUGAGUCAGCUGAGUGAGGGGGUUCAGGCAGCCCCCCGGGACAUGGCAGUGGCGGGGAGUGGACUGGGGUGGUGCUUGCCAUGACUCACGCCGGUUCUCCUCAGGCAACCGGAUGGUCAGAUGCGCUGACUCAGUGGCCUGAGCUCGUCCAAAAGCGAAUCAGAGAACACAGGGCCUGGGCUCACCCGCUGCCCUCUUCUGGAGUCAUCUGUCACUCAUCCUCAUGAAGGAAGCGCCUGGGAGCCUGGAAUGCACAUCGCACUGCCCCAGCUCCCCUCUUGUUUCUGUGUUUUUCCAUUUUGGAUUCUUUCCCCCAACGCCUUCUGUACUGGGCAUUUUGUGGUCUCUUCUUUUUCUCCGAGAACUCUGAGGGCUACCAUUGCAUUUGCUAAUGAUGCCACAGACGGUGUUGACGUUAUGAGGCUUCUAUUACUGUAUUGAUUUUUACCAUUUUUAGGGGGACGGGAAUCAAUAUUUCAUGAGGGAAUGUGAAGCCAGACAGUGAAGUAGAAGCUGGCUUUUAUUUUGUGCCAGGCUUUGUCCAGAGGCGGGUGGGGACGUGGCUCCUAAGCUCUUGAUUGCAGCUCCUUCUGGCUUGGGAAACGUUUCAGUUCCCCAAACUCUCAGAACUGGAUCCCCUGUGUGUUCUCUGGCCCGGAUUCAAGAACUUAGUUGAUUGUCAAGGAAAUUCUUUGGCUAUAUUUUUCUCUUAAUAUGGUAAUGCCUUUUUUCACUCUGGCACUCUCUUUUCAGGGAAUUGGAUUAAGACUAUUAUUUAUGGGUCUGACAAAGCAGUUCCCAAGUUGUUGGGACUGGAUUUGUUUAGGAAUGUCUCCUGUCCUCUUCAUUGAGGGGGGAAUACAAAUUGCUUCCAUUUGACAGUUUAUCAAGUGUGUGACAGAGUAUCAGAGUCCAGGGUUGGCCAACUACAGCCAGUAGUCCAAAGCUGGCCCUCUGUUGUUGUAAAUAAAGUUUUAUUGGGACAUGGUCAUGCUCACUUAUUUAGGUAGAGUGUAUGGCUGCAUUCAGUCUACACCAGCAGAGUUAAAUAGUUGUGAUGAAGACCACGUGGCCCGUGAAGCCAAAAAUAUUUGCUUCCUGGCCCUUUACAGGAAAAAAAUUCCCAGCCCCAGUGGCAGGCAAUUAACACCUUGUCCUCGAGGAGCUGAAAGUGGCUGGAGGCAGGAAUGCUUAUAAGAACCAAGCGAGGUGAAGCACUAGGUGGCCGCGGCGAGCAGGAAGAGAAGCUGAUUUUGUUUGCCCUUUCGUUUGCCAGAGAUUGUGGGUUCUUUUUUUUUUUUUUUUUUUUUUUUUUUUUUU